GGCAAUAGCGAAAGAAGAGAAAUAGUAGGAAUAAGAAGUGAUCUUGAACUUGAAAUGAGUAGGCCUUUGUAAUAGCUUCUAUUGUAUCUACAAAGUACUGCACCGAGGACGCGCUGUUAAAAGCUGGACUAAGAUCGUAGAAUAUUGUGCAUGCCAGUGACCUAAAUUUACGAUCGCAGCCCUACUGCGCGUUGUACCCCAGAACAAAUUGUGCGCCACGCUAAUAUGAUCCCCGUAGAUCGAGCGCAAUAAUUAGAAAUUGAAUUCCCCUCGUGCGAGGCAUCCCAGCCGAUGAACGGCUUAUAAAAGUAUAAAUAUUAAGUAAGCCACAACCUCGCUGUUGGACCUACCGUCAGUGCAUGCAUUCCGGCCGUUGAACGGUUAUAAAGGGCAUACACGGAAAAUUUAAUCACGUCAAAAUAAACGGAUUCAAAUUUGUGGAAAACUCUGUUACUUGACCACUUC